UACGUAGGGUGCAAGCGUUGUCCGGAAUUAUUGGGCGUAAAGAGCUCGUAGGCGGUCUGUCGCGUCGGCUGUGAAAUCCCGGAGCUCAACUCCGGGUCUGCAGUCGAUACGGGCAGACUAGAGUGCGGUAGGGGAGACUGGAAUUCCUGGUGUAGCGGUGAAAUGCGCAGAUAUCAGGAGGAACACCGGUGGCGAAGGCGGGUCUCUGGACAGGUACUGACGCUGAGACGCGAAAGCGUGGGUAGCAAACAGG
rnacentral:rRNA from 1 species